GAGAGAUGAGAGAAAGUUGCAGGGAGACAAAUUUUGCAAGAUUCUUUGGGUCCAAUUUAUUCAGUAACAUUCGGCUCUUCUAUCACACCAAUCUGUUGAAAGAACUGGAAUGUCGUGACAGAGCCCAGAUACCGUAGUAGGCCAAAAAGCCCUUUAAGGCCUUGUUAUUUCCCACCGAUUAUUAUUUAUUUACUUACCUAUUUAUUUUUGAGACGGAGUCUCGCUCUGUCGCCGAGGCUGGAGUGCAGUGGCGCGAUCUGGGCUCACUGCAACCUCCCCCUUCCGGGUUCAAGCAGUUCUCUUCCUCAGCCUCCCGAGUAGCUGGGAUUAUAAGCGCCCGCCACCACGCCCGGCUAAUUUUUUUUGUAUUUGUAGUAGAGACGGGGUUUCACCAUCUUGGCCAGGCUGGUCUUGAACUCCUGACCUCGUGAUCCACCUGCCUUCCUCCCAGAGUGCUGGGAUUACAGGCGUAAACCACCGUGCCCGGACUCCUACCGGAUUAUUAUAUUGUGCCCGAGACAGGCUCAGCAGGCCCCUUUAAGUGAUUUUUCAAACCACAAAUCUUGGCUCACGCCUGUAAUACCCGCACUUUGGGAGGCCGAGGUGGGCGGGUCACCUGAGGUUGGAGCUCGAGACCAGCCUGUUCAACAUGGUGAAACCCCGUCUCUACUAAAAAUACAAAAAUUAGCCCGGUGUGGUGGCGCGGGCCUGUAAUCCCAGCUACACGGGAGGCUGAGGCAGAAGAAUCACUUGGAUUCGGGCGGUGGAGGUUGCAGUGAGCCAAGAUCGUGCCACUGCACUCCAGCUUGGACAAUAGAGUGAGACACUCCCUUGAUUAAAACCCUUCAAUGGUCUGCUUUUAGGAUUUAGUACAAAUUUCUCAAUCCUGCCUUCAACGCCCUGACCAUCUGUGCUCAUUCAUCCAUACCUUUUAAAAAUACGUCUUGGGCCGGGCGUGGUGGCUCAUGCCUGUAAUCCCAGCACUUUGGGAGACCAAGGUGGGGUAUCACCUGAGGUCAGGAGUUGGAGACCAGCCUGGCCAACAUGGUGAAAUCCUG
rnacentral:lncRNA from 1 species